UACAGGGGGGGCAAGCGUUGUUCGGAAUUACUGGGCGUAAAGGGCUCGUAGGCGGCCAACUAAGUCAGACGUGAAAUCCCUCGGCUUAACCGGGGAACUGCGUCUGAUACUGGAUGGCUUGAGUUUGGGAGAGGGAUGCGGAAUUCCAGGUGUAGCGGUGAAAUGCGUAGAUAUCUGGAGGAACACCGGUGGCGAAGGCGGCAUCCUGGACCAACACUGACGCUGAGUGAGCGAAA
rnacentral:rRNA from 1 species